GAUGAACGCUGGCGGCGUGCUUAACACAUGCAAGUCGAACGGAAAGGCCUCUAGCUUGCUAGGGGUACUCGAGUGGCGAACGGGUGAGUAACACGUGGGUGAUCUGCCCUGCACUUUGGGAUAAGCUUGGGAAACUGGGUCUAAUACCGAAUAUGACCAUUGUUUGGAUGCGAUGGUGGAAAGCUUUUGCGGUGUGGGAUGAGCCUGCGGCCUAUCAGCUUGUUGGUGGGGUAAUGGCCUACCAAGGCGGCGACGGGUAUCCGGCCUGAGAGGGUGUACGGACACAUUGGGACUGAGAUACGGCCCAG
rnacentral:rRNA from 1 species